rnacentral:lncRNA from 1 species
GUAUUUUAGAGAAAUAAGAUUUCUGUGGUUACCAUGACCUGCUGUUACAGAUUACAUGGUACCCUCUCUUCAUAUGUUGAAGUCCUAGCCACCCCGCCGAACCUCAGAAUGUGACUGUAUUUGGAGAUAGGGUCUUUACAGAGGAAAUCAAGUUAAAAUGAAGUCAUUAGGGCAGGCCCUAAUCCGAUAUGAUCCUGUGUUCUUAGAAGAGGAAAUGUGGACUCAGGUGUGUAUGGAGGGAAGAUGUCUUGCAAGCCCAAGGAGAAGAUGGCCAUCUGAGCCCACGUCCUGGAACAGAGACUUCCCUCACAGCCUCAGAAAGAACCAGCCCUGCUGACGUCUUGAUCUCAGACCUCCAGCCUCCAGAACUGGGAGACGAUUCAGUCAGCAUCUACACAACACAGGGUUGAACUGUGCGGGUCCACUUCUAUGCAGAUUAUUUUCUUUUUUCUUUUUUGAGACAGAGUCUCGCCCGGUUGCUCAGGCUGAAGUGUAGUGGUGUGAUCUUGGCUUACUGCAGCUUCCACCUCCCAGGUGCAAGUGAUUCUCCUGCCUCAGCUUCCCAAGUAGCUGGGACUAUGGGUACUCGCCACCACACCUGGCUAAUUUUUGUAUUUUUAGUAGAGAUGGGGUUUCACCAUGUUGGUCAGGCUGGUCUUGAACUCCUGACCCCAAGUGAUCUGCCUGCCUUGGCCUCCCAGAUUGCUGGGAUUACAGGUGUGAGCCACCGUGCCCGGCCCUAUAUAACUCUUUGUGCAAGUUUUUACCCCUAAAAGAUAUCUGCCAUCUCAGCCAUGGAACAGACACUGUAAGAACAUGAAGGCUCAAGGGCAGGGCUGGCUACAUAAUUUGUGGGACCCAUUACAAAAUGAACAUGGAGAAAAAACUAGAAAAAAGUGUAGUACAAGGUACUAUAAUAGAUUUUUCCUUUGAAAACAGUUUAAUACUUAUAAAAUGUAAUAGAGGGAAAUAGUGACACGUGAGUAACAAAAUGGGCGUAUCAAUUGGUCUAUGCUAUUUUUGGUGUUAUAAUUUUACCUAAUAUAAUAAGCAGCAACACUUUGUUAGUGAGACGGGCUUUCACCAUGUUGGCCAGGCUGGUCUGGAACUCCUGACCUCAGGUGAUCCGCCUGCCUCAGCCUUCCAAAGUGCUGGGAUUACAGGUGUGAGCCUCUGCGCCCGGCUGUGAUGUCUUGAUUGAUCAUAGGAUUUUUCUGGCUAUUCUAGCUACUUCCAAUUCGCUUCAGCCAAUUUAGUUGAAGUUUUAUCACUUGUGACUUCAGAGUCCUGGUUAAUAUCCUGUUGCCCUCAGGACAUGCAGGAUGGAGGAAGGCACCAGGGAGCCGAGGGAAGUGAGCAGAGAGGCAGUCACUUCAGGGCCACCAGCAUAGCCCCCGUCACUGUCCACAGACACAGGCCCUUCCCCUUCUCAUGGUUGAGCAGGCUCCACCUCACUUCCGUGUAUGACUUCAUAGACCGUUAGGUUCCGUGGUACCCUGGAGUCCACAGCUGCUGAAUCUGAAGGGCCAUCAGAAGACUGGCUUCUCCAUGAUGGUUUAUGGACUAAGGCAAAGAUGAGCAGAGCCAUGGCCCUCUUCUUUGUUCUCUGCUGGAUCCAAGUAGAGAUGGGAUUUCAUCAUGUUGGCCAGGCUGGUCAUGAACUCCUGACCUCAAUGGAUCCUCCUGCCUCAGCUUCCUGAGUAGCUGGGACCACAGGUGCACACCACCACGCCCAGGUAAUUAAUUUUUAUUUUUUGUAGAGUCGGGGGUCUCCCUAUGUUUCCCAGGCUGGCCUCGAACUCCUGACCUCAAGUGAUCCUCCCACCUCAGCCUCCCCGAGUGCUGGGAUUAAAGACGUGAGCCACGGCACCUGGCCUGAAUUUUCCUCAAAUUCAAAAAAUCCUGAUGAAGGUUUGGCUAAAAUCUUUGGUGAGUUACCCCACUCCCUGUGGAACCUCAGGCUGGAUUUGAAGAGUUGCGUGCAUGGUCCUCAUUGUCUCCCAGGUAACCUGUUCCCGCUGCUGUGAAGGGAAGGCAGGUGCUCUUCCUUGAGGCUAGAAUCUGUCUACGUGUCACAGUCUCAGGAAAUUAAGCAAAACAGAUGAUAAACACCUCAAAAGGACCCUACUGAGCAUCAGUGGAGCAGAGCAGGGCCAUGUGGGACUGCGGCGUCAGAUGCCACCUCACACUAGCUGUGACACACCUGCCUCGCCAGUUUCUGCUCUGAGGCCCCAAAGCCGAGCUGAACCUCCUCCAGGGGUUCUCAGCCCUAACUGAGCAUGAAAACCCCUGGGGCAAUCCUCUUUUUAACAAUUGAGACAUUCCACACACACCCCACAUCAGAUUUUGGGGUGUGGGGAUAGACCUUCACAUUUGUAGUUUUCUAACCCUCCAGGGGACACUAGGCUGAGACUCAUUGGUCUCCACUCUGAACCUUCCACUGAACAUGUGAGAAAAACUAAGGCCCAGGGAAGUCUUUAGCAGAGAGCUGAGACGGAGAAAAGGGUUCUGAACCACAGCUGUCUGCUGAAGGAAGCUGUCCAAAGGCCAGUGAAGUCUCUCCUGAGGGUGCCUGGGCUGUGCAUCAGGAGUGAAGGUUGAGGGUCACCUUAGGUGUGAGAAGGAGCAACUGGGAGAGUGGCGCUGAUGCUUCCCCCCGGGUUAGGAGGCAUUUGGAUCACAGAGCGAUGCCUGUUCAUUCCUGCUUGCAAGGGAGCAGAUCUCUCGACACCCGAUGGGCCUCUAUUCCGUUCCGGCAGCUGUCCGUGUCAGGAGCGCUGGGCUUGCUCCUCCCCACGGGAGCCAUCACAGAGGCCUCGGGCAGUCUGCAUAGACAACUGCCUGGCAGGUGACCAGGAGGGGAUGCAUGAGCAGAUGCAGGUAGCACUCGCAGUCCCCCUAGCUGUGCCCUCAGCACCUGCUGUCUAGGAGGCAGAAGCCUUGUUCUCGGCCUUGCAGGUGACCCCAGUGUCUCUGAAUUCGGCCCCAUAUGUGUAGGAGGGGAGUGAUUGCAUCUGAAGAUGGGAGUCUGGUUGGGGGUUUGGGAAGCUCCCAUCACCCCUCAAGAGUCCACUGACCAGCCCAGCUCACACCAGGUGGGCCUUGGCACUGGAGGCCACGGCUCAACUCUGCAGUUCCCUCUGGGCAGCAUUUCCAGGGACUCGUAGGUCAGCAUGGUCAUCAAGGACAGGUGGUGAGAGCAGCUCCUCAUUGUCCUGGUGACCCCGAUGGUUCAUUUUCUGGUGUCUCUGUGGUGAGCUCCUGUUACAUCAAGCGAGUGGAAACCACCGAGGACCAACAGCCCUGGAAAUGCACUGAGAAUGCAGGAUGAGUGGGCUUUGUGAGGACUGUUUUCUGUGACUUAGCAAGGAAAGCCUGGAAGGGAAAGUAAAACUGCUUCUUCCCAGGGAAGCCAGAAACCUGAGAACUUAAAAGGGAAGGAGAACUUAAUAUAUUUCAAAAAUGUAACCCUUGUGAAUUAGCAACAGCUUUAUAAACAAAGAGAUUUCCGAGCUUAUAGAAUCUAUUCUGCUUUGUUUCUGCCCCCAUGGCUCCUACCCCUGUUUUUGUGGGUACAAUUUUCAUAUAGAACAUUUUUACACAAGCUUCAAAACUCUCUGAGGACAGCUUUCCCCUUUGUGUCUGUCGGGUCCCAGGCAGUCACAUCCCAGGAAGUGCUGGGGUUGGGCUCCUUGCUCCACAUCCUUCUUCAGUGGCACGAAGCGUGGGGUGGAGUGUGUGAGUCAUGUGUGAUCUUGGUGUGGGCUAUGGCUGGUCUGCAGCACCCCUUCAAUGACUGCUUCAAGGGCUUUUCAUGAUGCUUGUAGCUCAUGAGCUAGUGUUUCCUAGAUGCUGUUUCCAGGUGUCUUGCAUGUCACACACUGGCCUACCAGGGCUGGAGUGAGAUCAUGAGCGCCAGAUUGUUGGUGAAGGAAGUUGACAGAGACAUCGAAUGUCGGUGAACAGGAGUGACCUUGGGUCUCAAUAAAUACUGUGGUCAACUGAAUCCAGAACCCACCCUUACCAGCAGGGCCCACUUCUUCCCCAGCAGGCCGAGCUCUUCCCCUCCUGUCUUCCCUGGCCCUUGCUUUGUAGCUCUGUGUGGCUGUGUCAUGUCUGGUUGUAUCUGUAUAUACUUCUGCCUCUCCCGCUAUCUAGAUGGCUCGGGGAGGCACACCACACACCAGGUCACCUUCCUCUCUGAACCCCCAGCACCUCAUACUGUUUCUGUGCAGAGAUAAGGCUGGGUGAAAGCUUGUGUGAAUGAUCUGAAGUCUUCUACUCUAGGCCAGUCUCCAGGAGCAUUAUGAUCUUUAGGAGGGUGGGCUUGGUUCCUCUGUACAAUAAUGGGUCAUAAAACUGAGUGGUCAAGAUCAUCCCGGUGAGGGCAGUCCGUGUGUUGCCAUAGUUGCUGUACCGGUUAAGAAUGCACCUGGCUGCAAUUUCCUGAAAACCUGACGUAUAGUGGCUUAAACAAAGAGUGGUUUAUUUUCCUUCUGUCAUAGCAAUCUGGGGGAGGCCACUGUGGCUUUGGCGCAGGAGGUCGGGAAAGGCCCGCUUCUCUGAUAUCAUUGGGGGCCUCCCCAGUGCUUGUGUGGCAGAAUGACAAGAGGAAGAAGAAGGAGAAUUAUGGCACUGAGUAUCAUGAGAUUUGGGGUCAUAUAUCUUUAGUGGGCGGUGUUUGCUGCCCCAAAUGUCUCAUGCCAUUAAAAUGUUCUGGAAAUGAUUUAGGUAGUUGGAGUUUCCUUCCCAAAGACAAGGCAUUUACAGCAUGAUGUCCAAUAUCCAUUGAGUUUGUGUCAUGCAUUCAUUGUAUUCAUAGUCUGCUUUAGGUACUUAGCAAAAUAUUGCUGAUAUUAACAUGCCUUUGUUUGCUUCACUGGAGAUGAAAUUGUGCUCCAAGUGUUUUCCAAGGUUCCGUAUGACCCAUCAUUUGAUGAAACAAGAACAGCAGUCAGAUCCAUUACAAAGAGAGACACACAAAAAAACUAUGUGAAAAUGAGCUUAGCCCCUGGUGUUGUGUUGGAACUUCAGAUGCUUGCAGACACUUCAUGAAUGCUCUGUGACACUCAGAAUAGGCUAUUCCCAACAGAAGAGCUUGAACAAUGCUGCAUUUGCAUCAGGUUCAAAUGAGCGAGAGGAACAUUUGGCUAAAAUAUUUGGAACCAGCAUUGCUUGGAAUUCUCCUAAACCAGAAUAUUUCCUUGGCAGUGUGGACAAAAUUCCUGAUAAAGAUCACCUUUCAGAGGAGAAGAAUUUUAAAGAAUCCUGUCUGUUCGACAGGGAUUUAAGAGAGCAGUUAACUACUAUAGAUAAAGAAACACUUCAAGGAGCAGCUAAACCAGAUGCUCACUUUAGGACUAUGCCCUGCGGGCAGCUUCUGCACUUCCUGCAGAGGAACACCAUCAUCGCCGCCGUCUCAGGGGUGGCCAUCCUCAUGGCCAUCGUGCUGUUGCUGCUUGGGUUGGCCUCAUACAUCAGGAAGAAACAGCCAUCAUCUCCUCUGGCAAACACGACAUAUAAUAUUUUUAUAAUGGAUGGAAAGACAUGGUGGCACAAUUCUGAAGAAAAAAAUUUCACAAAACUUGCAAAAAAACAGAAACAGUUGAAGAGCAGCUCCUGUGUCUAAGCCAGGUCGUGGGGCCGUCAAACCAGGACUUGAAACCACAAUGCGAGGACAUUCUCCAUCUGCGCACCACAGGGAGGCAAUUCCAUUUCUGCCCGGGAGGUGUAUUCUACAAAAACGUCUGCUUCCCAUCCCAAUUUGAAUGGACCAAGAAAAACUGCUUUACCAUAGGACACUUGUGGCAAUAUGGCACCGAUGGCUGGCGUCGGUGAACCCGACAGACUAUGGAUUUAUCAUUUAAUAAAGCAUUGAUUCAUUUUUUCAGUCAUUCAUUGAACAGAUAUUAAUAGACCACCUCACAUGCUGACAAUAUCAAAAUACAAUGAGGAAACUAACAGUGACCCAGGCAUGCAUUCUUCCCCGAGCAAGAUCACAGUCCAUGGUGUGAGCACAACCAUACUAAAUAGCUUUUAUGGGAGGUGGGAGUACAGAAAGUAUUAUAUCUGCAAAGAAACUGCUAAGAAUUGUGGGAGCGCCCCAGGAGGUGAUUUCCUGCUUGCGUGACCAGCACAAAGAAAUGGGGUAAUUGAGAGUGUCAUGAAGUGGGGUUAUUUAUUUAUUGAGUC